GAGGACAAACAAUCGGAUGCCACUGAGUCAUUUGAGACUGACAUCUUCAGAACAACCGAGCAGACUCCUCAGAGGUCAUCCAGCUUCAAGACACAGGAGGACAAACAAUCGGAUGCCACUGAGUCUUUUGAGACUGACAUCUUCAGAACAACCGAGCAGACUCCUCAGAGGUCAUCCAGCUUCAAGACACAGUGCCCACACGAUCCAGAACCCUUACCUUCAAUGAACAAAGUUGGAAUGAAUCCUUCCCUGGUGGACUACACAGAUUCUGAUGAAUCUCAGAGUCCAAGCACAAAUCAUGACCAGUUUAAUUCAAGCUGCCAGACAUGGUGUCCGACUUCAGAGUUCGAAAUAAGCCUCACCCACCAGGACGGAGAUUAUAUUCCAAGGCUGAGGAGGACCAAAAGCAUACAGAUGAACAGAAAGGUUGAGUUUGCUUCAGAUGAGCUUUUUGACCCCACCUCAGGCAGCAGUGGAGAGGAAUAUAUUCCUCACAGUAGUGAGGAUUCAUCUGAAGGUACAGACACAAGCGAAGUCAUUCAACCAGUCAAUCAGAAAGAGAGCAUGCUUAGAUUUCCAAUCCUAGGGAAGUAUGCUGACAUCGGAGAACUGAACGAUGUGUCGUCAAAGCAAAUCCUUAACAGAGGACGCUCACCUUCAAGAAGAGGGGGCAACUCUGGUAUGAGACGUAAAAGGCAAUGUUCAAGCAGUUCAAGACGUGCAUCCUACCCUACAACACAUGCAAGUAGUGGUCACUCAACAAAACGGAGUGGAGAGGGAGACCCUGAAUCUGUAUUACAGAAAACAACACCUGAUCUGGAGAAAGAUCUUCCUGACAGUGCCUCUUCCCUCCAUACAGAAGAUGUAGCUGAUGGUUCACUUUCCAUAUCUGCUGUCUGUAAAAAGGAGAAUGGGUCAAGAAUGUACAACAAAAAGCAAUACUGUUUGUACUGUAGGGAGGGAUUCGUAAAAAUGGCAAGGCAUUUGGAGCGUGCUCAUAAAGAUAAACCAGAGGUUGCACAGGCUCUGUCCUUUCCAAAAGGCUCCAAAGAAAGACGAAUGCAUAUGGAAUAUUUGAGAAACAGGGGCAACUUUGCACACAAUGUGCAUGUAUUAAAUGCUGGUGUUGGAAAUCUUGUUCCUCGCAAGCAACCAAGGAAGGAUUGUCAAGCACAGAAUUUCCUGCAUUGUAUACAUUGUCAUGGUUUCUUCACAAAGAAGGUUCUUUGGCGGCACAUGAUGACCUGCAAGUUCAAGCCGAGUGUUCCACAAAAACCUGGCAAAACUCGUGUCCAGGCCCUCUGCGCAUUUGCUGUACCUCCACCACCUGGUGUCAAGGUGGAAUUUUGGAAGCUGCUAAACAACAUGGUUCAAGAUGAAGUUUAUUCUGUACUGAAAUCGGAUGUCUGUAUCAUGGAGUAUGGUGAGCAUUUGUAUAACAGGCUUGGAUAUGAUGUUGGCAAACAUGAAUACAUCCGUCAGAAACUGAGAGAGCUAGGAAGGCUUCUGAUAUGCUCAAGAAAAACCACUUCCUUGAAGACCAUUAAAGAUCACGUCAAACCUGCCAAUUUUAUGCAAGUUGUGGAAUCAGUAAAACACCUAGCAGGCUAUGACAGUAAAACCCAUUCAUACAGGUGCCCAAGUCUAGCUCUCAAAAUUGGACACAACUUGACAAAGAUUUCAAUGCUUCUUGAAAGCCAUGCAAAUCUACAGAACGACUACAGUGCUGCAAAAGAUGCUCGUACAUUCCGCAGAGUGUAUGAAACCAGAUGGAAUGAACUGAUAUCAGCCGCAUCACUGAGAACACUUCAGGAGUCUAAGUGGAAUACUCCUCUGUUGCUUCCAUUCACAAAAGAUGUCCAGACUCUCCAUUCGUAUUUGGAUGUGCAACAACAAGAUCUUUACAGUAAACUGUCUACAGAGGUAUCCCCCCAGACGUGGGCAAAACUGGCAAAGGUCAUUUUGGCACAAGUCAUUUUGUUUAAUCGACGAAGAGCUGGGGAGGUGUCAAAAAUGACCCUUUCUGCAUAUGUAUGUCAAAAUCCAUCAGACCCACAUGAAGAUGUGAAUGAAGCCCUCUCAGAUCUAGAGAAGAAACUCUGUCAGCAUUUCAGCAGGAUUGAGAUAAGAGGAAAAAGGGGAAGAAAAGUUCCUGUGCUUUUGACCCCAGUGAUGAAGCAAGGACUGGAUCUGCUUGUCGGCACACGGCAGGAAUGUGAGGUUCCUCGGGAGAACGUAUACCUAUUUGCAAGACCAUCGGCUUUGACCUGUUACCGCGGGUCUGAUUGCCUUCGACACUUUGCCAAGGUCUGUGGUGCAAAAAGUCCUGAAAGUCUCACUUCUACAAAACUACGCAAACAAACAGGAACACUGUCUCAAGUUCUCAACCUCAGUAAUACAGAGCUGGAUCAGUUAGCGGAUUUUCUUGGCCAUGAUGUUAGAGUGCACCGGCAGUUCUAUAGACUUCCUGAAGGCACCCUCCAACUUGCAAAAAUUAGCAAAGUCCUCAUGGCUCUGGAUCAGGGACGCCUGGCAGAAUUCAAGGGCAAGACACUGGAUGACAUUAACAUUGAUCCCGAAGGUACUUAUUAUUAG
rnacentral:lncRNA from 1 species